rnacentral:rRNA from 1 species
GUGAGUAACACGUGGGUGACCUGCCCUGUACUUCGGGAUAAGCCUGGGAAACUGGGUCUAAUACCGGAUAUGACCUUCCCCUGCAUGGGGGUUGGUGGAAAGCUUUUGCGGUACAGGAUGGGCCCGCGGCCUAUCAGCUUGUUGGUGGGGUAAUGGCCUACCAAGGCGACGACGGGUAGCCGGCCUGAGAGGGCGACCGGCCACACUGGGACUGAGACACGGCCCAGACUCCUACGGGAGGCAGCAGUGGGGAAUAUUGCACAAUGGGCGAAAGCCUGAUGCAGCGACGCCGCGUGAGGGAUGACGGCCUUCGGGUUGUAAACCUCUUUCAGUAGGGACGAAGCGCAAGUGACGGUACCUACAGAAGAAGCACCGGCCAACUACGUGCCAGCAGCCGCGGUAAUACGUAGGGUGCGAGCGUUGUCCGGAUUUACUGGGCGUAAAGAGCUCGUAGGCGGUUUGUCACGUCGUCUGUGAAAACCCGAGGCUUAACCUCGGGCCUGCAGGCGAUACGGGCAGACUUGAGUACUGUAGGGGAGACUGGAAUUCCUGGUGUAGCGGUGGAAUGCGCAGAUAUCAGGAGGAACACCGGUGGCGAAGGCGGGUCUCUGGGCAGUAACUGACGCUGAGGAGCGAAAGCGUGGGUAGCGAACAGGAUUAGAUACCCUGGUAGUCCACGCCGUAAACGGUGGGUACUAGGUGUGGGUUUCCUUCCACGGGAUCCGUGCCGUAGCUAACGCA